CUCGAAUUGGUGUAGUGGUAACACGGCUAUUGACACACAUGCCCGCUCUUGGGCGGCAUGUGCCCCACUGGGGGCAGCUGUCUCAGGUUCGAUUCCUGGAUUCGGGG